rnacentral:rRNA from 1 species
GCGGGCCGUGAGAGCGGGAGCCCGGAGAUGGGCACUGAGACAAGGGCCCAGGCCCUACGGGGCGCAGCAGUCGCGAAAACUUUGCAAUAAGCGAAAGCUUGACAGGGCUAUCCCGAGUGCCAUCCGCUGAGGAAGGCUUUUACCCAGUCUAGAAAGCUGGGGGAAUAAGGAGAGGGCAAGUCUGGUGUCAGCCGCCGCGGUAAUACCAGCUCUCCGAGUGGUGUGGAUGUUUAUUGGGCCUAAAGCAUCCGUAGCUGGCUAAGUUAGUCCCUUGUUAAAUCCACCGAAUUAAUCGUUGGAUUGCGGGGGAUACUGCUUAGCUAGGGGACGAGAGAGGCAGACGGUAUUUCCGGGGUAGGGGUGAAAUCCUAUAAUCCCGGGAAGACCACCAGU